rnacentral:rRNA from 1 species
GAUGAACGCUAGCGGCAGGCCUAACACAUGCAAGUCGAGGGGCAGCAUUUCUAGCUUGCUAGAAGAUGGCGACCGGCGCACGGGUGCGUAACACGUAUGGAACCUACCCUUGUCAGGGGAAUAGCCCGGGGAAACUCGGAUUAAUGCCCCAUAGUAUUUUAUUGUCGCAUGGCAUAAAGAUUAAAGAAUAUAUCGGACAAGGAUGGCCCUGCGAACCAUUAGCUAGUUGGAGAGGUAACGGCUCCCCAAGGCGACGAUGGUUAGGGGCCCUGAGAGGGGGAUCCCCCACACUGGUACUGAGACACGGACCAGACUCCUACGGGAGGCAGCAGUGAGGAAUAUUGGACAAUGGGCGAAAGCCUGAUCCAGCCAUGCCGCGUGCAGGAAGACAGCCCUCUGGGUUGUAAACUGCUUUUAUACGAGAAGAACCCCUACUACGUGUAGUAGGCUGACGGUAUCGUACGAAUAAGAACCGGCUAACUCCG